AGCGAACGCUGGCGGCAGGCUUAACACAUGCGAAGUCGAGCGGGCGUAGCAAUACGUCAGCGGCAGACGGGUGAGUAACGCGUGGGAACGUACCUUUUGGUUCGGAACAACCCAGGGAAACUUGUGCUAAUACCGGAUAAGCCCUUACGGGGAAAGAUUUAUCGCCAAAGGAUCGGCCCGCGUCUGAUUAGCCAGUUGGUGGGGUAACGCUCACCAAGGCGACGAUCAGUAGCU
rnacentral:rRNA from 1 species